AAAGAGGGUCAACCAGCGCAUGCCUCAAAUGCAAGAUCCUGAUGAUGGGAAUUUAUCAUCAAAACAAUCCAGAUCUAGCUAGAAGAUCGAAGAAGAUCUAGCCAGAAGAUCAAAGUCAGGUCUAGCCCGAAGACCGGAAAUAGAUUCAGCCAGAGAAUCAAAGAGAAUCAAAGAGAAUCGAAACAAGAAGAUCUAGCUAGAAGAUCAAAAUCGUAU
rnacentral:lncRNA from 1 species